rnacentral:rRNA from 1 species
UACGUAGGGUGCAAGCGUUGUCCGGAAUUAUUGGGCGUAAAGAGCUCGUAGGCGGCUUGUCACGUCGACUGUGAAAACCCGGGGCUCAACUCCGGGCCUGCAGUCGAUACGGGCAGACUAGAGUUCGGUAGGGGAGACUGGAAUUCCUGGUGUAGCGGUGAAAUGCGCAGAUAUCAGGAGGAACACCGGUGGCGAAGGCGGGUCUCUGGGCCGAUACUGACGCUGAGGAGCGAAAGCGUGGGGAGCGAACAGG